CUCGUAGGCGGCUAAUCAAGUCAUGUGUGAAAUCUCCCGGCUCAACCGGGAGGGGACAUGUGAAACUGUUUUGGCUUGAGUGCAGCAGGGGGAAGUGGAACUCCCGGUGUAGUGGUGACAUGCGUAGAUAUCGGGAGGAACACCAGUGGCGAAGGCGGCUUCCUGGGCUGUAACUGACGCUGAGGAGCGAAAGCGUGGGUAGCGAACAGGAUUAGAUACCCUGGUAGUCC
rnacentral:rRNA from 1 species